rnacentral:piRNA from 1 species
UCAUAUGCCUACUGCUGAAAUAGCCUUUGC